ACUCCUACGGGAGGCAGCAGUGGGGAAUAUUGCACAAUGGGCGCAAGCCUGAUGCAGCCAUGCCGCGUGUAUGAAGAAGGCCUUCGGGUUGUAAAGUACUUUCAGCAGUGAGGAAGGUGGGUAUGUUAAUAGCAUAUUCAUUUGACGUUAGCUGCAGAAGAAGCACCGGCUAACUCCGUGCCAGCAGCCGCGGUAAUACGGAGGGUGCGAGCGUUAAUCGGAAUUACUGGGCGUAAAGCGCAUGCAGGUGGUUUGUUAAGUCAGAUGUGAAAGCCCGGGGCUCAACCUCGGAAUUGCAUUUGAAACUGGCAAACUAGAGUACUGUAGAGGGGGUAGAAUUUCAGGUGUAGCGGUGAAAUGCGUAGAGAUCUGAAGGAAUACCGGUGGCGAAGGCGGCCCCUGGACAGAUACUGACACUCAGAUGCGAAAGCGUGGGAGC
rnacentral:rRNA from 1 species